CCACACUGCGCACGCCCCCCACUCUGCGCACACCCCCCACACUGCGCAAGAGACAGACGACGUGCAGAACGAGAACGCGGGCGCCGUGCCGCACUUCAAGAACAUCUUCUACCAAAAGCUGGGGCUGGGGCGUUAAGAUCGUGCGGGCGGAGCGAGGUCGCACUGGAACUACAGAAAUACUCAGGACAUGGACCGAAAUUUAUGUAAAACUAAUGUAAUAAUAUCUGUAUCAUUCACACAUUAUCAUUCGAUAACGUGAACCCUAAGUCCAAUUGUUAUUAUUAUUCAACGAUAUUGAACACAUACAGACAUCAGUCUCAAAAACAUCUGUGUACCACAGACACAGACACAGACACAGAUACAGUUGUCGGUUGUCUAGUUUGACACUUGCGACUUAUGGCGGUACUGAGGAUAUAUGAGAUUAUUAUUAAAAUAUUUGAAGGAAAGUGCUCGUAACUACACUUAUAGUAUUAUACCGCUGUAUAUAUUGUAUUAGUAAUAUAUAUAGUGUUAUAUUUUCAUCUCUUUGUCAUCAUUACACUUAAAAUAAAGGUUUAGUUGCCAGUGGGGAAGCGCUGGUGUACAUUAGGGAAUUGAGCAGAGCCGAUGCAGAGCUUACAAAUACAAAUUAUAAAGCAAGCAACAAAAUUGUUGAAGUUAAUUCCUACUUAGGUCACUGAAGAACAAGUAUUUUUUUAUAAUUGCUUACAGUUCACGGAUUUGGUUCGUUCCAAAACACAUGCAAUCAAAUUAGAGAUUAAGAGCAACAAACUGAUUACGAGAAAAUAUAUUGCACUGAUUUCUUUACAAAAAAAAUGGCCUAUUUACAUUUACAGAAGUUAGAGAUUCCUUUAAAUGUAGUAAUGUUUAGUGUGUAGUUGGUAGUUGCAAUAU